UCGGGAAUUUUGGGCAAUGGGCGAAAGCCUGACCCAGCAACGCCGCGUGAGGGAUGAAGUAUUUCGGUAUGUAAACCUCGAAAGAAUGGGAAGAAUAAAUGACGGUACCAUUUAUAAGCUCCGGCUAACUACGUGCCAGCAGCCGCGGUAAUACGUAGGGAGCAAGCGUUGUUCGGAUUUACUGGGCGUAAAGGGCGCGUAGGCGGCGCGGUAAGUCACUUGUGAAAUCUCUGAGCUUAACUCAGAACGGCCAAGUGAUACUGCUGUGCUAGAGUGCGGAAGAGGCAACCGGAAUUCUUGGUGUAGCGGUGAAAUGCGUAGAUAUCAAGAGGAACACCUGAGGCGAAGGCGGGUUGCUGGGCCGACACUGACGCUGAUGCGCGAAAGACAGGGGAGCAAACG
rnacentral:rRNA from 1 species